rnacentral:rRNA from 1 species
UACGGAGGGAGCAAGCGUUACUCGGAAUUACUGGGCGUAAAGGGCUCGUAGGCGGCCAACUAAGUCAGACGUGAAAUCCCUCGGCUUAACCGGGGAACUGCGUCUGAUACUGGAUGGCUAGAGGUUGGGAGAGGGAUGCGGAAUUCCAGGUGUAGCGGUGAAAUGCGUAGAUAUCUGGAGGAACACCGGUGGCGAAGGCGACUACCUGGCCUGUUCUUGACGCUGAGGCGCGAAAGCUAGGGGAGCAAACGGG